rnacentral:rRNA from 1 species
UACGGAGGGGCUAGCGUUGUUCGGAAUUACUGGGCGUAAAGCGCACGUAGGCGGCUCUUUAAGUCGGAGGUGAAAUCCUGGAGCUCAACUCCAGAACUGCCUUCGAUACUGAAGAGCUCGAGUCCGGGAGAGGUGAGUGGAACUGCGAGUGUAGAGGUGAAAUUCGUAGAUAUUCGCAAGAACACCAGUGGCGAAGGCGGCUCACUGGCCCGGUACUGACGCUGAGGUGCGAAAGCGUGGGGAGCAAACAGGG